rnacentral:rRNA from 1 species
UAACGGUCCUAAGGUAGCGAAAUUCCUUGUCGGGUAAGUUCCGACCCGCACGAAUGGUGUAACGAUCUGGGCACUGUCUCAACUACCCGCCCGGCGAAAUUGUAGUACCGGUGAAGAUGCCGGUUACCCGCGACAAGACGGAAAGACCCCAUGGAGCUUUACUGUAGCUUGAUAUUGGGUUUCGGUAAUUUAUGUACAGGAUAGGCGGGAGACUAGGAAGCCAGUACGCCAGUAUUGGUGGAGUCGUCCUUGGGAUACCGCUCUUAAGUUGCUGGAAUUCUAACCUGCGGCCGUGAAUCCGGCCGGGGGACAUUGUCAGGUGGGCAGUUUGACUGGGGCGGUCGCCUCCAAAAGAGUAACGGAGGCGCUCAAAGGUUCGCUCAGCACGGACGGAAACCGUGCUUUUGAGUGUAAACGCAGAAGCGAGCCUGACUGCGAGGGUGACGGCCCGAGCAGAAACGAAAGUUGGAGUUAGUGAUCCGGCGGUAUGUGAAUGGAAAUGCCGUCGCUCAACGGAUAAAAGCUACCCUGGGGAUAACAGGCUGAUCUCCCCCAAGAGUCCACAUCGACGGGGAGGUUUGGCACCUCGAUGUCGGCUCAUCGCAUCCUGGGGCUGAAGUAGGUCCCAAGGGUUGGGCUGUUCGCCCAUUAAAGCGGUACGCGAGCUGGGUUCAGAACGUCGUGAGACAGUUCGGUCCCUAUCUGUCGUGGGCGCAGGAUAUUUGAGGAGCUCUGUCCUUAGUACGAGAGGACCGGGAUGGACGCACCGCUGGUGCACCAGUUGUCACGCCAGUGGCACAGCUGGGCAGCUAAGUGCGGAUCGGAUAAACGCUGAAAGCAUCUAAGCGUGAAGCCGGCUCCAAGAUAAGAUAUCCCAUUCCGUAAGGAAGUAAGACCCCUUGAAGACUACAAGGUUGAUAGGCUGCGUGUGUAAGCGCCGCGAGGCGUUCAGCUUGGCAGUACUAAUAGGUCGAGGGCUUGACCU